AAAAAUUUAAGUUAAAAAAACUAUUGACCUUCAAAGUCAAAAUUGAAAAAUUUUUCAAUUUUUA
rnacentral:tRNA from 1 species